rnacentral:rRNA from 1 species
UCCAACNUUCGGGUGAAGACCGAGUGGCGAACGGGUGAGUAACACGUGGGGAACCUGCCCUUCUCUCUGGGAUAACUCCGGGAAACCGGAGCUAAUACCGGAUACUCCUUGCGGACCGCAUGGUCUGCUCGGGAAAGCUCCGGCGGAGAAGGAUGGCCCCGCGGCCCAUUAGCUUGUUGGUGGGGUAACGGCCCACCAAGGCGACGAUGGGUAGCCGAGCUGAGAGGCUGAUCGGCCACACUGGGACUGAGACACGGCCCAGACUCCUACGGGAGGCAGCAGUGGGGAAUCUUGCGCAAUGGGCGAAAGCCUGACGCAGCAACGCCGCGUGCGGGAUGAAGGCUCUCGGGUCGUAAACCGCUUUCAGCAGGGAUGAAAAUGACAGUACCUGCAGAAGAAGCCCCGGCUAAAUACGUGCCAGCAGCCGCGGUAAUACGUAUGGGGCAAGCGUUAUCCGGAUUCAUUGGGCGUAAAGCGCGCGUAGGCGGCUUGUUAAGUCAGGCGUGAAAUCCGGGGGCUCAACCCGCGGCUUGCGUCUGAAACUGGCAGGCUUGAGUCUGGUAGAGGAAAGUGGAAUUCCUGGUGUAGCGGUGAAAUGCGCAGAUAUCAGGAGGAACACCAGUGGCGAAGGCGGCUUUCUGGGCCACGACUGACGCUGAGGCGCGAAAGCUAGGGGAGCGAACAGGAUUAGAUACCCUGGUAGUCCUAGCCGUAAACGAUGGGCACUAGGUGUGGGGGGUCAUCGACUCCCUCCGUGCCGAAGCUAACGCAUUAAGUGCCCCGCCUGGGGAGUACGGCCGCAAGGCUNAAACU